UCGUAUACACUAGUUACCCCGACCCUGGCCCGUAGCUAUACGCGAGCUACUUUCGAACCAUAAUCAAACACUCUAGCUAGUCCCAACUCCAACGUAUCGUCUUGUGCCCUAGGUUACGCCGUUAAGGCUCUAGCUCGCGCCGUGCAGCAUCAUAGCUGAAACCCCUCUCUCCCUGAAACCUCCCUCUCCCUAAAGCACUGUAGGUGAAACCCCUCAGCUCCAACAUAAUGUGAUUUUUUCAUCUUCAGUUUUCAUUAUUACUUAUCAAUGCAUCCCUUCAUCCCGAUAAAAAUAAUUUUCCAUCCUCCAUUUGUUUUCCCUCUCACUUUUCUCAAUGGAGGGAAAAAAAUCCAAAAAAAAUUCGAACAGGGAAGAAUAUAUCUUCUUCUUCUUCUUCCACCAGUGAACAAAUCUAGGGUUUUAGUCUCUUCCUUCAGCUUAUUUACUAAAUUAAUCAGCUUGUCAAACAUUCUUCUUGAAGUGGACAUGCAAACUAAGAAAAAAAGCCUCCAGGCGAAAUGCCAGUCAAGAGCGUGGCAGUCCUAAAGUUUCAAGAGCACAGAGGAAGGUCUCUGGAAAUGGUCGAGCUGCUGAAAAGAAAGUCACAGACUUAAUUAAUGUUCAGUUUUUUAAGUUAAUUUGUAUCAAUUGUUUCAAAAUUUAGCACCCUUGAGAAUAAAACUAGAGAGCCUAUCCCUCCAACAGAUUUGAAUAAUGGAUAUGAGUUUAUGGACUGUGGGACUUCUGAUGCUUGUUUGGAAAAUGAUGCAGUUGACGGUGUUUCAUUAGAUUUUAUGGUAAUUUAACUGGACAGCCUUUUUACUUGUCUUAGUCUGUCUGUUUUCCUUUAUGUGUGUGUGCAGGUGUGCAUGCUACUACAUAAGUUUCACUUUUUCUCAAAAACUGUUUUAAAUCUUUUAAGACCUAAACUGAUGACUAAAAACCUCAUUUGGCAGAGUACCUAUAUCUCAAAUGUAGUGAUUUUAAUGAUCUCAUAUACACCGAGCAUGCUUAAUAUAAAUGCUUUCUGAAAAUUCAAAUGCUGAUUUGAAGGGAAUUGCCUUGGAACACUAGGUAUCCUCUUACAUAUUUUUUCCCCGAUGUUUUGAAAUAAUACUUGAGGGUUGUAACAAUCGAGCUGUUCAUCUGGAGUCUGGAACUAUAUUUUCUCCUGGGUUUCACUUGUCCAAAAAUUCUGCCGGAGUUGACAGAGGUAAAUGAUAUUGUAUUAUUUUAAUUAUUCACACCUAUGUUUUAAGUAUACAGUUAGAGGUUUGAUCUUCACUCAAAUCUGUCAUAUGUAUGAAAGAGUAUAUAUAUAUUAGGAGAUCUCAAUUAGUUCUUUAAGUAUAUUUCAGUAUCUUGAGAUUAGUCUCUGGAUUCUAUCCAAGAAAAUCACGAGUUCAAGAAAGAAAAAAAAAGAGGUAGCGUGCAUCGAUGCUUGGAACUUUUGAGAGGUAAUUUACGGUGGUUGACACUAAGCUUAGGGAUAAUCAAUAUAUAAUCAUCCUUUAAAAUUUGGAUAUUUUUUUAUUUUGAUCACCUAAUUAAAAAAGAGAUUUUUUUUAUAAGCAAUGCUUUUUGGCAUUUAAAAGAGGUAAAAAAGAGAAAGAACAGAUAAUACGGAUCAUACCAAGUUGAUAAGACAAACUCUAUCAUUCAAAUGACUAGUAUUUUUGUUUCCAACACGACAGUUUUUUCUUCAGUUUUGUACCAUUGGUUCUCAUCUUGCUUCCUUUCUUAGUUUUGCACCUACUGAAUUCCCAAAUACAUGAAUGGAAGUCACAUUGCUCUGCAAUUCAGCAAAGAGAGGCAAAUCUCCUUGGAGUAUCCUUGUCAGUUGUGACCCCUAUCAGCUUGCUCUUGUAAAAAUUGACUUUUAACCCUGAACUUGAGCAAAAAAUGAUAAAGAACAAGUCUCAUUAAUAAGUUGGGAAAUAAGUCUCAUUAAUAAGUCUGGGCUGCUUAAUGUUGCUGAAAAAACCUCUGCUCUGUUCUUCUCAUAUGAAACUAAUUUAAGUGUGAGGUGAACUUCUUUGAAAAUUUUUAGCGGUCUUACGUUUAUAUUUAUGACUCAAAUAUGAUAUGGUUUUAUCAGUGCACAAGGGUUGAAUGACCACGGUGAUGAGUGUAGAUUGCUUCCUCUUUGGAGACAGAUCUCGAUUAACUUUGAACAUUUUGAUUGUUUGCCUCUUUCACCUGUGCUUAGUGAUACUUCCACAAUAGAAAAUUAAUGAUCACAAAGUAACCCCAGAAUGCCUGGUGUAGCACGUAUGACAGCUUCAUUUAUCACAAGCAUACGAUGCCUGGUAGUUUAAAUGAUUGAGUAAACAAAUCCAUGUGUGUUUUGUUGGAAGAGCUUAAACGGUAAGAGAAGAAAAUAUAUUUGCUCUCUUUUUAUUUAUUUUAAAAGCAGGAAGUUUGUGUGAUUGGUGUAUCUCUGGAGUUUGGAGUACUCAUGAUACGUACUCUUGCUGGUAAUAAAAUUCUGAUUUUACAUAUAAAAAAAAUAGAGUUUAGCAGAUUGAUAACCACAGCCACGAAAGGAAAUAAAAUAAAUCAAAGAAGUAAAAACAAGAGAAGAAAAUAAAAUAAAUCAAAAGAGUAACUUUUAUUCAAAACACAGAAAAGUUUCCUUGCUCUUUGAUAUUAAAUUUAGUGUGUAUAAACUUCUCAACAAAACAAGAGAAGAAAAUAAAAUAAAUCAAAGAAGUAAAAUCAAUUAAACUCCUCUCUUUUUCUAUGGAUAAAAGAUCUAAUUGAAAAAAAGUCACCAGGUUAAAAUUAACUUAUACUCUCUAACUUUCCCGAAAACUUGUACUCCUAUAACUUUUCUUAUAGUUAAGAAUAAAAUACUUGACUAAAAGCUUACAUAAGCUAGAAGCUAAUCCAAGUUGGACCAUAGUUAUUUACUUAUAUGGAAUUCAUUUAAGUGCUUGGCAUCCUGAUUCAAUUCUAAUGGAAAUCUAUUUUGUGCUAUUUUGUGUAUUCAGUAAGAGUUAGUUCUAGGCCAGCUGAUGCUGCAAUUGCUAGACUUAUUCAAGGAACAAAGGUGCUUACAUCAGGAGUGCCUGAUAAGCUAUUUCAACAAACAUUUGGGGGUUUCCAGGAGAGAAGCUCUUACAGCCAUGUGCUUGCUUCCAAUGACUCUUGCUAUUAUAAUCUCUCCAACCACGAUUUUAUAUAUAUAUAUAUAUAUAUAUAUAUAUAUAUAUUCUAAAUAUUCAACCUCAAAAUAAUAAAUUGUAUUGAUAAAAAAAGAUAGUAAGUAAUAGUAAUAGGGGCGUGCAGCAUCUCGAAAAGCCGAAGCCCAAAUAAAUUAUAAGGGUUAGAUGAAGUAAAGUUUGGGCCCAACAAAUGCUGUAGAAACUGAUCGAUGAGUGGUCUACAAGUUGGAAAAGAUCAUAAGAUUCGAACGUGACUGGAAGAAGAUUGAAGCAUUUGUAGGUUCAAAAAUGGUUAUUCAGCUUUAUCAUCUGUAAAGUAUGGUCCAUUCCCCCCUUUAAAGAAGUGUCUUUCCAGUACAAUCAUGUUGAGAAGGAGAAGUAUGCAUGUCAAUAAGUUGCUAAGAACACAAUAACAUCAUUGGAUCCAUUUAGCUGAUCUAAUCUGUUGGGAAGAGCUUUUGGGGGUGGUGUAUGAAACACAAGCUCGAUUGGCACUGGAAUUUGGGGACCUGUUUAAGUAUAAUCAGUGCCAAUCUCACUUGCAAACUCUUUAUGUCGAAGGCAUUGAGGGGUCUGAUAUGGAAUUUUCCGCUUACAACUUGCUUUGUGUCAUAAUGCAUUCAAAUAAUAACAGAGAUCUUGUAUCAUCAAUAGCAAGGUAGUUGUCUGGCCUAUUAUGCAACGAACAAAACCAGAUGACAACAUUUUCAUUUGUGUUGACACGAGUAGCUGAAUGACCAUCCUCAGGAUCAGGUGGUAGUGCGAGUACCUAUGAUUGAAUCUACGAUUGAAAUUGAGAUUGCAUCUGACUAAAGGACAACAUUACUUGUCGAGUCACUUUUUCUGUGAUCGACUCCUCCAACUGGUCCCUGAUUUUUUGCGUCAACUGCUCCUUGUCUUUCGGAGCCAUGGACGAAGACGUGUGGGAGGUCCUUGGAGUUGGUCCAAAGUAUUGUUUGAUCGUGACAUUGGCUCUAGCAGCACGCACACGAUCGGGGUGUUCUUGUCGGCCAAUGACAAUAGUCAGUACAUCUUGACGUCCAUGAGCGACAAAGGAAUCCUGUGAGGUCUGCUCCUCCAAUGAAUCCUAUAAGGAACAUAUUUCUUUGUUUACUCAAUCAAACAAUAAACAUAAAUAAUUGCAAUUGACAAUUGAAAGUGACUUACAAUCUUGUUAGCAAUUUCCUUUGCCACCUCAAACGUCAUUUGGCCAGUUUUCUUGGUGUAAGUCAUUUUCAACUUCACGUGUCGUCUGAUGGAAGAUGGCACAUUGGUUACUUCCUAACCUGUAUUUUUUA